rnacentral:rRNA from 1 species
AAUACGAAGGGGGCUAGCGUUGUUCGGAAUCACUGGGCGUAAAGAGUACGUAGGCGGAUUGUUAAGUCAGGGGUGAAAUCCCGAGGCUCAACCUCGGAACUGCCUUUGAUACUGGCAAUCUUGAGUCCGGGAGAGGUGAGUGGAACUCCUAGUGUAGAGGUGAAAUUCGUAGAUAUUAGGAAGAACACCAGUGGCGAAGGCGGCUCACUGGCCCGGAACUGACGCUGAGGUACGAAAGCGUGGGAAGCAAACAG